GAAAGGGGUAAAUUAUGCCUCAUCUUAAAUAACUUUAAGGUGUCACACUCAAAUACAAAGCCUUCGUGUUCAUUUAUAGUUUGUGUGUGAUACAGGGAAAUUAACAAGUGUCAAUGCCAGUUGGCCAGGGUCAUGCCAUGACAGCCACAUCUUCAGGACGUCGGGUCUUUGUGCAAAGCUGGAGCGGGAGCAUACAAACUUUGCAGAUGGUGUGCUGUUAGGAGAUUGUGGUUACCAAUGUAAAGUGUAUAUGAUGACUCCUUUCCUGGCAACGGAUUCUGUGGCAAAGGAAAGGUAUCAGCAGGCCCAAACCCGGACACGUGCAGUCAUUGAAAGAAGCUUUGGGAGACUCAAGCGUAGAUUUGCUGUUCUACACUCUGAGGUUAGAUUGAAGCCUGCAAAGAUUUGCAAGAUAACAACAGCAUGUGUGAUACUGUACAAUAUUUGCAUCAAACUCAAUGAGCCUGACAUUGGGGAUUCUGAUGAAAAUCAAGACAAUAAUGAUGCAGUAUUCAAUCUUGCGAUGAAC